AAGAGAGACGACAAAACUUUAUUUAUUUAUUUAUUAUUCGUCGUGUGUUUAUAUUUAUAUAAACAACACCGAUAGUAAAGAAAACAUAAUAUUCUUGUGAUUUAAUUCCAUUCGCGUA
rnacentral:ribozyme from 14 species